GACGAACGCUGGCGGCGUGCUUAACACAUGCAAGUCGAACGGUGAAGCGCCUUCCUUUUUGGUGGGUGUGGAUGAGUGGCGAACGGGUGAGUAACACGUGAGUAACCUGCCCCCUUCUUCUGGAUAACCGCAUGAAAGUGUGGCUAAUACGGGAUAUUCUGGGUCUGUCGCAUGAUGGGUCUGGGAAAGAUAUUGUUUCGGUGGGGGAUGGGCUCGCGGCCUAUCAGCUUGUUGGUGGGGUGAUGGCCUACCAAGGCGGUGACGGGUAGCCGGCCUGAGAGGGUGGACGGUCACACUGGGACUGAGACACGGCCCAGACUCCUACGGGAGGCAGCAGUGGGGAAUAUUGCACAGUGGGCGCAAGCCUGAUGCAGCGACGCCGCGUGAGGGAUGGAGGCCUUCGGGUUGUGAACCUCUUUCGCCAGUGAAGCAGGCCUGCCUCGUUUGUGGGUGGGUUGACGGUAGCUGGAGAAGAAGCGCCGGCUAACUACGUG
rnacentral:rRNA from 1 species